UAUACCCUACCUUGUUCCCUCACUUUGCUCUUGUCACCUUUUCAGAAGCAACUUUCCUCUCCAUCCCACACCUCUGCCCUCUGCUAGGGCACAUCAUCCACACGUCUCCAAGCUACCAAAACUCCUUUCGUGUUACAGCCCUACUCAAGUUCCUGGAGUUGUGCUAACCCUUGGUUAAGGACUUUUGCUUUCUGUACCCAAAACAAAAGAUGAGAGGGAGGCCCGAGAUGAAUCCGGGAGACGCAGCAGUGCAGCUUAGAUCUUCGUGUCUAGAUGUCUUAGGAGUAGUUUCGUGGCCAUGAGGCCUUUUGUAUCAGUUGCCGUGGUGGCAACCCUUUUGCAAGACUGUUAGACUUUUAGACUUGUGUUUCCUCUAAGUAAUUCCGGAUGACUGUAACAAUUACCAUUUCUUUAUCGUCUUGUUCAUCUGAAUGCUUCUCGU